CRUACKRGCGAGCGUUAUUCGGAUUCACUGGGCUUAAAGGGNGCGUAGGCGGCUUGUUAAGUAGGGUGUGAAAUCCCCCRGCUCAACUGGGGAACUGCACUUGAUACUGGCGAGCUAGAGUGAGAUAGAGGUGNGUGGAAUUSCCAGUGGAGCGGUGAAAUGCGUAGAUAUUGGSAGGAACACCGGUGGCGAAGGCGGCUCACUGGGUCUCUACUGACGCUGAGGCACGAAAGCCUGGGGAGCAAACAGGAUUAGAUACCCUGGUAGUCCCGGCCGUAAACGAUGARUACUUGKUGKGRGCG
rnacentral:rRNA from 1 species